AUCAAAAAGAGCGUCUGCCUUACACGCAGAAGGUCGGGAGUUCAAUCCUCCC
rnacentral:tRNA from 15 species